CGGUGGCCAUUGUAGAAAUAUGGAGAAAGAAAAGAUCAUCUGGAAAAAGAAUAUAUAGGGUGUGGAAACAUCAUUGUAAGAAUAAUCUAAGUUUUCGUCGAAAACAUAUAAAAAUAAUCUUAGUCAACAGUCGACAUCAUGUUGUGCCACUUGUCGUUUGUGUUCACCUAAGUCCACCUCAAACACCUUUCCAUGGUUCCGUCC
rnacentral:lncRNA from 1 species